ACGGUACUUGAGGAAUCAGCAUCGGCUAACUCCGUGCCAGCAGCCGCGGUAAUACGGAGGAUGCAAGCGUUACCCGGAAUGAUUGGGCAUAAAGCGUCCGCAGGUGGUUUUGGAAGUCCGCUGUCAAAGCGUCAUGCUCAACAUGAUUAGAGCGAUGGAAACUACAAGACUAGAGUGCGUUAGGGGUGAAGGGAAUUCCUGGUGUAGCGGUGAAAUGUCGAGAGAUCAGGAAGAACAUCGCUGGCGAAGGCGCUUCACUAUGCCGCAACUGACACUGAGGGACGAAAGCUAGGGGAGCGAAUGGGAUUAGAUACCCCAGUAGUCUUAGCCGUAAACGACGGACACUAGGUUUUGCUAGUAUCGACCAGAGCUCAGUAGUAGCGAAGCUAACGCGUUAAGUUCGCCGCCUGGGGAGUACGGUCGCAAGACUGAAACUCAAAGGAAUUGGCACGAGCCCGCACAAGCGGUGGAGUAUGUGGUUUAAUUCGAUGCAACGCGAAGAACCUUACCUGGUCUUGACAUCUAGCGAACUUUCCAGAGUAAGAUUGGUGCCUUCGGGAACGCUAAGACAGGUGCUGCAUGGCUGUCGCUUGCGCGUGUCGUGAGAUGUUGGGUUAAGUCCCGCAACGAGCGCAACCCUUGUCCUUAGUUGCCAGCACGUAAUGGUGGGAACUCUAAGGAGACCGCCGGCGACAAGCCGGAGGAAGGUGGGGGUGACGUCAAGUCAUCAUGGCCCUUACGACCAGGGCUACACACGUACUACAAUGGAGAGGACAGAGGGCAGCAAACUCGCGAGAGUGAGCCAAUCCCAGAAACCUCUUCUCAGUCCGGAUUGGAGUCUGCAACUCGACUCCAUGAAGUCGGAAUCGCUAGUAAUC
rnacentral:rRNA from 2 species